CCCUUAGAUGUUCUGGGCCGCACGCGCGCUACACUGAUGCAUUCAACGAGUUUCUUCCUGGUCCGAGAGGAAUGGGUAACCUUUUGAAAGAGCAUCGUGAUAGGGAUAGACUAUUGCAAUUAUUGGUCUUCAACGAGGAAUUCCUAGUAGACGUAGUUCAUCAGACUGCAUCGAUUACGUCCCUGCCCUUUGUACACACCGCCCGUCGCUCCUACCGAUUGAAUGCUCAGGUGAGCCAUUCGGACUUUCAUCAUGCUGGUUUCCAGUUUUGAUGAAGGAAAGUCUUGCGAACCUUAUCAUUUAGAGGAAGGAGAAGUCGUAACA
rnacentral:rRNA from 1 species